UUUUCGGAGAGUUUGAUCCUGGCUCAGAAUGAACGCUGGCGGCGUGGUUAAGACAUGCAAGUCGAACGGUUUUUCAGGUGUAGCAAUACAUUUGAAAAGCAGUGGCGAACGGGUGCGUAACACGUGAACAAUCUACCUCUUAGUGGGGAAUAGCUCGCCGAAAGGCGAAUUAAUACCGCAUAUGGUUGAUGUCCUCCUGGAUGUCAUACUAAAGUCGGGGACCGCAAGGCCCGACGCUGGGAGAGGAGUUCGCGGCCUAUCAGCUAGUUGGUGAGGUAACGGCCCACCAAGGCUAAGACGGGUAGCCGGAUUGAGAGAUCGACCGG
rnacentral:ncRNA from 1 species